rnacentral:rRNA from 1 species
UACGUAGGGGGCAAGCGUUGUCCGGAAUCAUUGGGCGUAAAGCGCGUGUAGGCGGUUUGGUAAGUCUGCUGUGAAAGUCCAGGGCUCAACCCUGGGAUGCCGGUGGAUACUGUCGGACUAGAGUACGGAAGAGGCGAGUGGAAUUCCCGGUGUAGCGGUGAAAUGCGCAGAUAUCGGGAGGAACACCAAUUGCGAAGGCAGCUCGCUGGGACGUUACUGACGCUGAGACGCGAAAGCGUGGGGAGCAAACAGG